GUCUGAAUAGCUCAGUUGGUUUGAGCGUGGUGCUGAUAACACCAAGGUUGCAGGUUCGAUCCCCGUCUGGGACA
rnacentral:tRNA from 1 species